AAAACUGACAAUUCAGAACCAUGGCGAUGGUCAUGGGCUAACAACAGUUUACAAGACACAACACAGAUAACUAAUAAACAGCUGCGCCAUGAGCGCAUGAUACGCCCGACGUCUUGUGUGGAAGUUUUAUGCAAUAAUCAUAAAUAGUUUCUGAGAAAGUUUUAAGCAAUUACCAUUUAUUGCUUUUGAGACACGGCAGGACAUGUGAAACCCCCCAACCCUGUUUUAUUUUUUUUACAAAUAUCACUAAAAUAAAAUUUUGAAUCAAACCAAAAAGUAUACAGAUCUUUAGAUUAAUAUAACAAAGAAGUGUGUACAGUUUCAAGCAAUAAUCAUAAUUUUGUUUUGAGAUACGGCGCGACAUGUAAAAAAAAAACCUCCCCUUUUUUACAAAAUACUCAAUAACUCAAAAAUAAAAUUUUUGGUCAUCACCAAAAAGUAUACAGAUCUUUAGAUUAAUAUAACAAAGAAGCGUGUAAAGUUUUAAGCAAUAAUCAUAAAUCGUUUUUGAGAUACGGCACAACAUGUAAAAACGUCCUCCCCCGUUUUUGAGAUACGGCGCGACAUGUAAAAAACCCUCCCCCUUUUUUACAAAAUACUCAAUAACUCAAAAAUGAAAUUUUGAAUCAUCACCAAAAAGUAUACAGAUACUAAGAUUAAUAUAACUAAGAAGUGUGUAAAGUUUUAAGCAAUAAUCAAGAAUCGUUUUUGAGAUACGGUGCGACAUGUGAAAAAAAACACACUCCUGUUUUAGUUACAAAGUGC
rnacentral:lncRNA from 1 species